rnacentral:rRNA from 1 species
AAAAUUUUUUAAGUCUAAUCUGCUCAAUGAAUAAUUUUAAAUAGCUGCAGUAUAAAUAACUGUACAAAGGUAGCAUAAUAAUUUGUUUUUUAAUUAAAAACUAGAAUGAAUGAUUAAAUGAAAUAUAGACUAUAUCAAACUUAAAAAAUAAAUUUAUUAUUUAAAUAAAAAAAUUUAAAUAACUUUUAAAGACGAGAAGACCCUAAAGAAUUUAAAUAAUAAUUUAAAAUAAUAAUUUAUAAAUUAUUAUAUUAAUUGGGGAAAUUUUAAAAUUUAAAAAAUUUUUAAUUAAAUAAACAUAUAUUUUUGAAUAUAUAAAAUUUUUUAAAAAAUUAAAUUAAAUUACCUUAGGGAUAACAGCAUAAUUUUUUUAAAAAGUUCAAAUUUAUAAAAAAGUUUAUGACCUCGAUGUUGAAUAAG